AUGACCUGGAGGCUUAAUUUUCUUUACUUUCUUUCACAUCUCUUAUGUUUGUGUCUUGUUUUCCCAGUUAGACAGAAAACGACUUUAAAGCAGGAGCUACAACUUACAGGAGAUGUUAUGAGACUGACACACAAGUCACAUGAAAGAGAGAACAUUAACUCCUGUUGGAGACUUAGCCAUGGCUCCUUUGACCUGGGAGAGAAGAAAGAAAAGGGUGGGAAGAGAAGAAAGAAAAAGACACACACACAGAUCCCAAAGAUUCAUAUCUGCCGGGAAUUUGGAAAUACUGGUGCCGUCAGAGAGGAUACUGGUUUCUCAACUAGAAGAGCUUCGCCGUUCCAUGCGUGGAUGGGGAAAUCUUCUGAAAACACACCCAAGAGCCAGAAAUAGCACACAGGCCAGGCUUCACGACACCCUCUCACUCACCAGCAGGACGGGAUCCUGCUACCAGGAGAGGGCUCCAUCCGGAGGAAGUGAGAGCCCCAGCCGCCCCCAGGAAGCGGCCGGCCUGAGCAGAAGCCUUGCCAAGGGUACUUACCGCAGCUCCUGCCACAGCUCCUCCUCAGCACAUCGGGACUCUGGGGAGCCCAACUGGCCCUGGACAUAGACAGAGUUGUGUGCAAAUCCCAAUUCUGUCACAUGAGAUUGUAGGGAAGUCACUUCACAUCUCCAAGCCCUCGUUUGCCUUUCUAUAAAAUGUGCGCUAUGUAUAAACUGUCUCAGGAUUUGGGGGCUGAUACAACUAAGCGCCCAGCACAGUGCCUGGCACAUAGUAGGUACUCAGUAAAAUGUAGGUGUUUUGUAUUAUUAUUGAUUAGCACUAUGGUCUAUUCCUAAUAAUAGUACUAUGGCUGUUAUUUUCUACACCUCCCCUCUUUCAGACCCCGCUCUGGCUCAGCCUUCUCAAGUCCUGGUCCUUACAUCACCCCAACACCGGUCUUCUCUUCUGUCUUUUCCCCCUGGAAAACCUUCCAAACUAGAGUCAGUUUCUCAUAGCCAAACUCAACCCACAAAAUUAAUGACUAGCAAAGUACUAAAAGUUCAUCACAGCUCCGCAUUUGCUUCUAACAGAGACCUUCAGCGCUCACCCAAAGAAGGCAAAGUAGGCUGAGUGUGGCUGUGCACCUUGCUGAUCAUACAGGGUGAGCCGGGCCUGGCUCCUGGGAGAGGGAGGCUCCCGGAGGGGAGGGGACACCUCACAGCUGCACCGCAUUUUCUGACCUUGGCCUUUCCAAAUGCCCUCUUUCAGGCUCUCACCUUGCCAUGCCCAUUGUCAUGUUUUAUAAACUUUUCCUUGCAGCACAUUAAGACAGAUGAGCGUGGAAAUCCUUGAAGUUGCUCCCAACAACCCGGCCUCUUUAUUAGGUCUGUAACCUCCCCGUGGAUGGCAUUUCCAUAGUCUAAGGAUCAAAAAGAGCCAUUUGCUUUUGCCAAACAAACGGCCGCCCAGCUGUGCCACCAAGCCAGGG
rnacentral:lncRNA from 1 species